rnacentral:rRNA from 1 species
GCCCGCUCAGAAACGUUAAAGGAAGUUGACGGGGGCCCGCACAAGCGGUGGAGUAUGUGGUUUAAUUCGAUGCAACGCGAAGAACCUUACCUGGUCUUGACAUCCCGGAGACCCUUAGGAAACUAGGGGGUGCUUCCAUCUGGAAGAAUCUGGAGACAGGUGCUGCAUGGCUGUCGUCAGCUCGUGUCGUGAGAUGUUGGGUUAAGUCCCGCAACGAGCGCAACCCUUGCCUUUAGUUGCCAGCAGUUCGGCUGGGCACUCUAAAGGGACUGCCGGUGUUAAACCGGAGGAAGGUGGGGAUGACGUCAAGUCCUCAUGGCCUUUAUGACCAGGGCUACACACGUACUACAAUGGCCGAUACAAAGGGCAGCGACACUGCGAGGUGAAGCCAAUCCCGUAAAAUCGGUCUCAGUCCGGAUUGGAGUCUGCAACUCGACUCCAUGAAGUUGGAAUCGCUAGUAAUCGUGGAUCAGCAUGCCACGGUGAAUACGUUCCCGGGCCUU